rnacentral:rRNA from 1 species
UACCUAAUUCGAAAAUACAACUUUCAACAACGGAUCUCUUGGCUCUCGCAUCGAUGAAGAACGCAGCGAAAUGCGAUACGUAAUGUGAAUUGCAGAAUUCAGUGAAUCAUCGAAUCUUUGAACGCACAUUGCGCUCUCUGGUAUUCCGGAGAGCAUGCUUGUUUGAGUAUCAGUAAAACACCCUCAGUUCUCUCGUUUCUCCUGUUAAAGGGAAGGCGAGGGAACUGGACUUGAGCGAUCCCAACAGCAGUUUGAUUGUAAAAGAAAACCGCUGGCGGGUCGCUUGAAAUGCAGGUGCGGCUGGACACAUCUUCUGAGCUAUAAGCAUUACUUAUUUAAUCCCGUCAAACGGAUUAUUUCUAUUGCUGCAGCUAACAUAAAGGUUGAUUGUCCUUGUGCCCGACUGAUGCAGGAAAACAAAGAGACAAUCUUUGUUCAACUCGAUCUCAAAUCAAGUAAGACUACCCGCUGAACUUAA